rnacentral:rRNA from 1 species
CCUACGGGUGGCAGCAGUGAGGAAUAUUGGUCAAUGGGCGGGAGCCUGAACCAGCCAAGUCGCGUGAGGGAAGACGGUCCUAUGGAUUGUAAACCUCUUUAGGCGGGGAGCAAUGCCGGGCACGCGUGCCCGGAGGGAUAGUACCCGCAGAAUAAGCAUCGGCUAACUCCGUGCCAGCAGCCGCGGUAAUUCGGGGGAGGCGCGCGUUAGCCGGAUUUAUUGGGUUUAAGGGGUGCGUAGGCGGAUUUUUAAGUCAGCGGUAAAAUGUCCGGGUGAAACCCGGGCCGGCCGUUGAAACUGGGGAUCUUGAGUGGGGUAGAAGGAGGGGGAAUGCGUGGUGUAGCGGUGAAAUGCAUAGAUAUCACGCAGAACUCCGAUUGCGAAGGCAGCAUACCGGCGCCCGACUGACGCUGAGGCACGAAAGCGUGGGGAGCGAACAGGAUUAGAUACCCGGGUAGUC